AGUGAACGCUGGCGGUAGGCCUAACACAUGCAAGUCGAACGGCAGCACAGUAAGAGCUUGCUCUUACGGGUGGCGAGUGGCGGACGGGUGAGGAAUACAUCGGAAUCUUCUUUUUCGUGGGGGAUAACGUAGGGAAACUUACGCUAAUACCGCAUAUGACCUACGGGUGAAAGCAGUGGAUCUUCGGACCUUGCGCGAUUGAAUGAGCCGAUGUCGGACUAGCUAGUUGGCGGGGUAAAGGCCCACCAAGGCGACGAUCCGUAGCUGGUCUGAGAGGAUGAUCGGCCACACUGGAACUGAGACACGGUCCAGACUCCUACGGGAGGCAGCAGUGGGGAAUAUUGGACAAUGGGCGAAAGCCUGAUCCAGCCAUACCGCGUGGGUGAAGAAGGCCUUCGGGUUGCAAAGCCCUUUUGUUGGGAAAGAAAAGCAGCAGGUUAAUACCCCGCUGUUCUGACGGUACCCAAAGAAUAAGCACCGGCUAACUUCGUG
rnacentral:rRNA from 1 species